UUCAGAUGCAAAGGAAAAUGGCAGGGAAUACGAUGUCACAUCCAUUCUCCUGAAGUAUCUCUGAAUGCUCCAGAAACUGAUAACACAGGUCUGUGGAUUGGUAUUAGUAUUGGAUUAGCGUUUCUAUUGACGGGAGCUAUUAUUGUCUUCUUAUUCUACUCCUGUAAAAGGAAACAUAAAGGCAAUAUUACCAGUGGGUUUUCCAAUCCAAAUUAUGCAGGGAGCAGCACGACUUCUCCGAACGAGUUUUAUAAUACGGUGCAUCCUAAUGUCCAUAUCAGCGUUUUUCCCUGGAAAUCAGCCCAUGAGGUACAUGGUUCCAGGAAGGCCUGUUCAUUCUCCAACCCUCUGUAUGGCAAAAAAGAAGACCUGUAAUUUCCAUGUCACCUUCAUCUCGCUGCGUGCAGAAAUUUUUUAGAGAUAAAUUAUGAUAUCAUUUACAGAGGCAGCGAUUGUUAAUGUAAAUACCGCCUGCUGCUGCAGACAGACAAAGCAGGUAAUAAGUGCUUUCUGCGUGACAGAUAUUAAUACUCGCCAUCGGCUCGCGGGGAAAAGCGCCUGCAAAUGGAUGAGUUACUGGCGGAUAAUGGAGCCAAACAUUACCACAUGGAAGAAAUCC